CUUUUUUUUUUUUUUUUUUUUUUUUUUUUUUUUUUUUUUUUUUUUCCUCCGAGCCCGUCGAAU
rnacentral:ribozyme from 13 species